rnacentral:rRNA from 1 species
GACGAACGCUGGCGGCGUGCUUAACACAUGCAAGUCGAACGGAAAGGCCCUGCUUUUGUGGGGUGCUCGAGUGGCGAACGGGUGAGUAACACGUGAGUAACCUGCCCUUGACUUUGGGAUAACUUCAGGAAACUGGGGCUAAUACCGGAUAGGAGCUCCUGCUGCAUGGUGGGGGUUGGAAAGUUUCGGCGGUUGGGGAUGGACUCGCGGCUUAUCAGCUUGUUGGUGGGGUAGUGGCUUACCAAGGCUUUGACGGGUAGCCGGCCUGAGAGGGUGACCGGCCACAUUGGGACUGAGAUACGGCCCAGACUCCUACGGGAGGCAGCAGUGGGGAAUAUUGCACAAUGGGCGGAAGCCUAAUGCAGCAACGCCGCGUGCGGGAUGACGGCCUUCGGGUUGUAAACCGCUUUCGCCUGUGACGAAGCGUGAGUGACGGUAAUGGGUAAGGAAGCACCGGCUAACUACGUG